AAAAUGAUGAAAGACAGCUUGCAGUGGUGGCUGAGCAAGUUUUAGAGGCUCAUACGCAUGCAUCCUCUUCAGAGAUUAAGCAUUUGGAGGAGCUUUCAUUGAGGAGGGAAGAAGAUCUCCAGCAUUCAUCAAGUUCUGAUGCAAUGAUUGGUGAUGACCUCCUUCAAGACGCAGAUGUGAAGCUUGUUUCUUCAGGUUCUAGUUAUCAGCACGUGCCUUCAGAGGCAAAAUCUCCCUAUGAAGUGGAGAAACAGCUGUCUUGGUCAGAUAUUUCUGUUGUUGAACCAUCCAUAAAUGAUGAUGAUGAUGAUAAAUCCCAGGAACCGUCUGUCACCCUGGCAGAGUCAACAGCAGGAGUGAACGUUGCCAACAACUUACAUGUGCCUGAAGUCUUCAAUCAUGAGGCAUCUGAAUCUGCUUCAGUCCCACCAGAGAGUCUAGAGUACAAAUUGAAGGUUGAUGAAGUUGAUUUUAAAGACAAUAUCCUCGAUAAAAUUCUCUAUGAGGACUUAGAACACCCUGACUAUUCAGUAGAAACGCACAGGUCUUCUGUUGCUGAGGGAAAUAUUAAUGAGGAUGGAGAUGAGGUAAAGGAGAUUGAUGAGGGAUUGUUGUCAGAACUGGACACAGUUGG
rnacentral:misc_RNA from 1 species